CGGGGCGUGGCGCAGUUUGGUAGCGCACCUGCUUUGGGAGCAGGGGGUCGCGGGUUCAAAUCCUGUCGCCCCGA
rnacentral:tRNA from 1 species